CUUCUCAUAUCUGCUUCUGCAGUCUGUCUAUUGCAGCGUGGCGUGUCAUGAGGUCUUUGGAAAACUCCACCGUGCACACAGAAGAGAAAGAGUGAAAAAAGGCAAAUAUCCUCUUAGUAUUGUUAUGAAACUAGUUUUGACUUCACAUACUCCCUGGUAAAGGCUUGGGGCCAGGAACCACACUUGGAACUGCUGCUGGGAUGCAGUGAUGGAGAAAGGGCUCACAGGAGCACAAGGCCUCAGAGAGAAGGAGUUAACUAUGUGAAGCCUCCUGGCUUUAAAAAGCAUGGAGAUUGUUGCUGGGCGCGGUGUUUCCCACGUGUAAUCCCAGCACUUUGGGAGGCCGAGAUGGGUGGAUCACUUGAGGUCAGGAGUUCGAGGCCAGUCUGGCCAACAUGGUGAAACACUGUCUCUACUAAAAAUACAAAAAUUAACUGGGCAUGGUGGCCCAGGCCUGAAGUCCCAGCUCCUUGGGAGGCUGAGGCAGGAGAAUCGCUUGAACCCAGGAGGCAGAGGUUGCAGUGAGCUGAGAUUGGGCCACUGCACUCCAGACUGGGCGACAAGAGUGAAACUCCAUCUCAAAAACAAAACAAAAGCAUGGAAAUUGUACGGUGUGCUUCACUGCGAAUUCUGGUCCUGACUUGGUCUUAGAAUAGCUGCGGGACUAUGGACAGGUACCCUGCCCUCUCUGAACCUCAGUUUCCCGGUCUGCUUUAUGAAAAGGGUGGCCUCUAACAUUCCAGGCCGCGCCCCUCCCCCAGCCUUCCCCAAGCCUCUGGGAGGUUCCAGGAGGAAUUUCAGAGCAACUCUUCCGUUUGCCAGCAGAAGGCGAUGGAGACCAGCCUCGGCUGGACUACUUCCUCCCCAGAGGCCCUUCACCGCCUCCCCAUCCAGACCCAAGGUUCCCUAGUGGUCCGGACGGUUUCCUUGGCAUCGCUGGCACCAGCAGACAGACCUGCAAAGAAGAGAAGCUGGUCUGGACUCCGGCCUUCCUUCACAACACAUGGACAGGUAAAUAAAAUUAAUGGCAUGUGUCUCUUUUUUGCAAGAGAAGGAUAACCACAGUAUAUCCUUUACAACAAAUAUGUAUGUUCAAAGCACAUGAAAUGUAUGUCUCUUGAAGGACAAAAUAGCCUUGGAAUAUCAUUUUGAAGCCAAGGAGAAAAGUAACUUUUUCUGGCUGGGUGCAGUGGCUCAUGCCUGUAGUCCCAGCACAUUGGGAGGAUGACUCAGGAGGAUCUCUUAAGCCCGAGAGUUUAAGACUAGCCUGGGCAACAUGGCGAAGCCCCCAUGUCUACAAAAACACAAAAAUUAGCCAGGCGUGGUGGUGCGCACCUGUAGUCCCAGCUACUCAGGAGGCCGAGGUGGGAGGAUGGCUGGAACCCAGGAUGUCAAGGCUGCAGUGAGCUGAGAUUGUACCACUGCACUCCAGCCCAGGUGACAGAGUGAGACCCUGUCUUGGGAAAAAAAGGUAACUUUUUCUUAACAUGUAAACAGGGAGAAAAGUAAUAGAAAAGGAGAAAAUGGUACUCCUCAUCAGUGAAGUGAGUGAAAAAUUAAGUGGGGAUAGCAGAGAGGGAAAGAGAGGGGAAGGGAAAUUAAGCAGAAGUCACAGUAGCCUGAGGAAUGAGACAGAGGAGGAUGAGGGGGAGGAGAGGCAGAGGCAGAGGAGGAGGAGG
rnacentral:lncRNA from 1 species